AAAAGAACACGCGCACAGUCAUACACACAAAAAAGGAGUGAGAGACGAUGUCGAGAUCUGGGAUGCUUCAGGUUCUACAACUGCCCCCAAGAUCUGUAAACCCAUUUCAGUUUCAUUCUGCCCUCUGCAAUACCCUUCAGGGGAAUUGAAGCUGUUGAUACAGUGAUGUCACCGCAGUCGGCUUUUGAGAACUCCGGUCCUGCCGUGGCACAUCUCAUUAUGGUGAGUCCAAGGAUUAUUUACAAUGGCAACCUUGAGACUCUGAAAACAAAUAGGGAGACUUAUGCACUCUCACAAACCAAAUAGAGAAGGUUGUGGCCUAAUGUUUGGGAGCAUCUUGAUAAGCUUGAAGUAAAUGGAAAGCAAGUGAUUGCAUGCAAAUAUUGUCACAAGUUGUUAAUAGGGCCAAGCAAAAGUGGAACCACACUUGAAAAACCAUUUGAAAAGAUGCUUAGAAAAGAAAAAGAAACAAAAUUAAGAAAUGAUGAAGCUGAUAUUUUCGGCUCAUGCUAAUGAAUGGGGCUCAAUGUUUGGUUAGUAAAUGAGUUACCUGGAUUUUACUUAAAUGAUCAUUAAGCAUCGAUAUUCAUAGAUAUGGUUGAACAAGAGUCUUUCAAAUUUUUUUUGUAAGAAUUGGCACCACAUGUUUGAGUUCCAAUCAAAAGCUAUCUUGGUAUUUGACAUGCAUUUGCUUGCCUUUAAGAAAGAUAUGUAUUAGAUAUAUUUUGAUUGAUUUGCUUGUAACUUGAAUAUGAUAGUUAGGAAGAACUAUCAUGGAAAGAUUGUGUUUUGUUGUUUGAUCAUUGAGAGCACAUUUUAUUCAUUAGGAUUGGAAACAAAAGAUGAAAAUUGUUAGUCUUCAAAAUUUCAGAGCAUAUCUAUGACACAAACUUUAAGUGGAAUUGUUAAGAGCUUGAUUUUGGAGUGAAAUAUAGUUGAAGUUUCUCCUUCUCUUUCUUAUAGAUGUGAUGUAUGUCUAUUAACAAAGUAUCUUUCGAUUGAAACUCAAACAUGGGUUGCAAAUUUUUCACAAAAUUAUUGAAAAUUUUUGGUUCAGCCAUAUCCAAUGGAUAUUGAAACUUAAUAAUCAUUUUCACAAAAUCCAAGCGAUUCCUUUUCUGAUCAAACAUUGAGCUUCUUUCAUUUGUGGUAGUUGAAUAUAUCAACUUCCUUUCUUGAUUUGUAUUUUUCUUUCUAGACAUCUUUCUCACUGUUUUUUCAAGCGUUCCACUCUUGCUUAACCCUGUUAACUUCUUAUGACUCUGGAGAUAAACACUAGAGGUGGUAUUUGCUCGUAAUGUAGCUAGGUUAUUUCCCUUCAACUUUAAUCGGCAAUGGGGUGUUAAACUUCGUCUAACGAUGUAAACUCUUAGCCAUUCCUGGGCCUGCAAAACAGGUAACUUUUUCACAAUCUAUACUAUAUUCCAGUUUUGAUCAUCCCUACAGGACGUGUUUUUGCUGUAUUAGAAUUUGACUACCUUUUGCUCGUGUUUAGAUCAUGGCAUUUACUCUUAUGUGCUGCAUAACACCUAGCUUUUUUCUCUUCUCUAUUAUAAUUGGGGGUGAUAAAUUAAGGUGGUCUGAUCAGUUAUCAAUACAGUCUCUUGCUAGUCUCCAGAGCAACAAGACUUCCCUAUUACCCGUGCUGCGAGGUGGUUCGGGCUCAAGGCAAUGUUUCUUGCCAUAAGAUGGAAAUUACAUUUUGUUUUUCAAUCUUCAUGUUUCUUUCUUAUAUUUUUAUACUUCAGAUAAAUAUGAUUAUGCUUUAGAAAGUUUGGUGCCACAAGGAAUGGUUGAUGAUUUAGCAGAUAAACCUACAUAUUGAAAUUGAUAAUCGGGACAUGGUAGUGGAUAGUCAACAUAAGGAAGUUGCCCAAGCAAAACUCCAAGUUAAUCCUGAGGUUGUGGAGUUCGACAUGUUGCAAAUGUCACGGGUUCUCUAAGGCAUCAAAAUAAAGUGGAAGCAAACUUGAGUGUUUACAUAUUCACCAGAUUAAGUAGAUGGGCCUUCAGUCUCUCCAAGUAAUGGGUUAGUCUUGUUGGGCCAAAUGAUCUCAAGUGAACAAGAUGGAUCAUCUAAGUGUGCUUUGGUCGCUGUUCUUUUGCGCGGCUUGUGACUUAAAGCAGAAGAUGAUUUCGUGAAAAAAGGUUGUUGCUAGCUGGAGCUGUACUAAGUUAAUUGCCACUAGGAAUGCAGCAAUGGAGCACAUUUGGUGAGUUUGACUUUGAUCGUGCCACGAGGGAGAGAGCUGAAAAACAAGAAAGUUCAUGGUAGAGGCUGGAUGUUUCGGAUUGUAGUGUCAGGUAUCUAGGAUCAAAGAAACCCAGAUGCUAAAUGCCUAUGCUGUAAAAUUACUUUUAUGUUCUUCAGACGACAAACAAUGAGAUCAACCGAUGCAGAAGAGCCAGCUUGCCCUUUCAACAAUAUCAAAGAAACAGUUUCCUAGCCUGUCUGGUGCUGAUGGAACCUGGUGUUUUUGUAAAGGCCGCGGAUCAAAGCUCGUAAUAAUUGUGCACAGAACGUUCAAUGGAUGUCAAUAGAAGCUUAUAAGCAUUGGUGGUCCAGUGAAAUAUUCAAUAAAACUAGAGUUACCAAGAUAAUUAAUGUAAAUAAUGUAAAUUUUAAGAGAUAAAGAUGAAUAGAGUUUAAAUCUUUUAGGACUCUUAUUUUGUAAGUAGGCACAAAUCUCGACAGUUGAUGUAACUGAAUCUAUAUUGUUGGUUUGGGAGGGGACCUCAAUUAUAAAUAGAGGCCUUCCCGCUCACUCGUAUUCACUCGGUUGUAAUCCUAGAGUUGUUUCAGUAAAAUUAGAGUUUAAAUUUUAAGAGAUGAAAAUGUAGAGUUUAAAUUCCUUAAAACUCUUAUCUUAUUGAUAGACAUAAAUCUCGAUUGUUGGUUUGGGGGAAGCUUAAUUUUU